rnacentral:ncRNA from 1 species
GUAAAAGUUUGAUUCUAGCUAGUUUAUUUACUCUUUCUACGAGUCAUAUGCAAGAUAUCAUUAUAGGUUAGAAGUGCAGUGAUUGACAUUAUUGCCUACUUCUUAGGUAUAGCGAACGAAAAGAUAGGGGGACCACUUUGUGCCAGCAUCCGCGGUCAUACAAGGCCCUAGAGCAAAUAUUUUAGGUGAACAGAGGAGCUUUGGGACAAGUAUAUUUUAGAUCAAUAAGGGUGAAAUCUGUAUUUAUUCUCAAUUUGUUUGAAUAAGGCACUCUUUUGAUGGUCAAACAACUAGGAUUAGAUACCCUAUUAGUUCAUUUCUAAUUAACCUGGGUAGUAUUAUUUAAACCUAAAGAAUUUGGCGGUUUCUAAACUUACUAGAGGAACCUGCCCCAUAAACGACAAUCCACGAGACAACCGACCCGUUCUUGUAAAACAGCUUAUAUACCGUCGUUUAGGGGAUUAAAUAAAUAACUGCUCUUAAUUGCUUAGGCUAAUAAAUCAGAUCAAGGUGUAGCUUAUGUCCGGGAGAGGGUGGGUUACAAUAAGAACUUAAACGGAACUUUCAUUUUAUCAUGGAGAAGAAGGUGGAUUUAGAAGUAAGGCCUAUCAACCUGAAGGAGGCUAUGAGAAAUGUACACAUCGCCCGUCGCUCUCUUGUCCGAAGAGAUAAGUCGUAACAAAGUAGGUAUACCGGAAGGUGUAUCUUGAAAG